rnacentral:tRNA from 2 species
GGGUAGGUUCCCGAGUGGCCAAAGGGAGCAGACUGUAAAUCUGCCGUCGACGACUUCGGUGGUUCGAAUCCACCCCUGCCCACCA